GUCUUUUCCCCUCAAUAAAAGGGGCUCCAUUAGUUACCCAAUUCUUCACCCCUUAACACGUGAUUUUUUUUCCCACCUUCCAUCUUCUUCCCUGUUAUGCAAAUUUUUUAUUUUACUACAUCAUCAAGUUCUUCAUGACCGAGAGCAUCUAUUCACAAAAAAAAAAAAAGAAAGCUUGUACUUCUUCCUGUUAUUAACACACCCCAUAACUCAGCUUCAGCUGAAAUCCUUUCUCAUUCACAAUUUGGAGGAACCAAUUUAUUUUCAAGAGGUCCUACAAACGAGGAUAUUUAGGCUCUUGAUCAGCUGAGUUAUAUUGUUUGGAUUUUCUCCAAAUCAGGUGAGGCUUUAUUUACGAAAUGUAUGUUUGAGCUAAUAAGCUCGGUUUUAUGUAAAGUUAAAGUUGAUGGUUCAUGCUUAAAAUGUUUUUGCUCUCUA